rnacentral:rRNA from 1 species
UACGGGAGGCAGCAGUGGGGAAUAUUGCACAAUGGGCGCAAGCCUGAUGCAGCCAUGCCGCGUGUAUGAAAAGGCCUUCGGUUGUAAGUACUUUCUAGUCGUGAGGAAGGUGUUAAGGUUAAUAACCUUAGCAAUUGACGUUAGCGACAGAAGAAGCACCGGCUAACUCCGUGCCAGCAGCCGCGGUAAUACGGAGGGUGCGAGCGUUAAUCGGAAUUACUGGGCGUAAAGGGCACGCAGGCGGUUAAUUAAGUUGGAUGUGAAAUCCCCGGGCUUAACCUGGGAAUGGCAUUCAAGACUGGUUAGCUAGAGUCUUGUAGAGGGGGUAGAAUUCCAUGUGUAGCGGUGAAAUGCGUAGAGAUGUGGAGGAAUACCGGUGGCGAAGGCGGCCCCUGGACAAAAGACUGACGCUCAUGUGCGAAAGCGUGGGGAGCAAAACAGGGAUUAGAUACC